CGCGGGGGUCUCAGCUCUGUGGGGGGGACACAUCAGCACAGUGUGGGAGUGGGGAACGUCACCAGAGAUGGGUGAUGGAGGGAUGGACAGCGGGGACAGACGGACAGCAAAGCGGCUGUGGAAGCAAUCCCUGAGCCCAAAGCAGCGCCCUCCAGCAAUGGGGUAUGGGGUAAUCGUUCCAUCCCCACAUCCCCGUGCAAUGGGAGCACAGCACUAUGGGGUCCCCCACAUACACAUGCAAUGGGAGCACAGCACCGUGGGGUCCCAAUGCAAAAGGAACUCAUCACCAUGGGGUCCCAAUGCAAUGGGAGCACAGCACUGUGGGGUCCCAAUGCAAUGGGAGCACAGCACCGUGGGGUCCCCACACCCCCAUGCAAAUGGGAGCGCAGCACUGUGGGGUCCCAAUGCAAAAGGAGCUCAGCACCGUGGGGUCCCCACACCCCCAUGCAAUGAGAGCUCAGUGCCCACAGCCUCACACCCAAGGAUGGGAUUGGGGAUGCGCGUGGUGCUGAGCAAGGAGAGCAACGCUGGAGCUGCACGGAUCGCCGCUUCGGGGCCGGAGAAUGAAAGCAAAUUGCAAAGCAGCAUUAAAGAACCACCCUGCAGCCUUCUCCUCCGUGCCCAGGAGCUGAGAGCCUCCUGUCCUAUUAAUAUCAGCCAGCUCAGGAAGAGGAGAGGGAACAUCUUUAUCUCUUCCAUCCGCUGAUACCUCGUCCUCUCUCUCUUUUAUGGCUGCAAUUCCCCUUUGUUCAGCCCCACGUGCUGCGCGGCGGGGAGAGCUGCUGGAGCAUCUCGAAAUAUAAUUAGAAAGCUAAAUAUGACACCGCUGUUCCACUCGGAGACCCAACCCCAUAAAACACCCAGGCUGUGAUGUGGAAAACGGUGCCAUCCGUGCAUCCGCCGCCGCCCCGACGGCUGAGCUCCGUGAUUGCUUAAAGAUUACCCACCAGUUUUCAAUUACCUCCCAUUAAUGUAUUUACCCGGCGUAUCUUUUAUCAAGCUGCAAGUUGUUGUGUUGGUAUGAUAUUAUUUUUUCUUUGCAGGGAGAUGGGUUGGCUUCCCCUAAACGGCCCAUAUUUCAGCAUUAGAGCCGCUCGCUAUCAGCGUGGGCUGAGUGAUGCUUUGCUGCUCCAUCUCCCGGUGUUUAAUUCUGCUGGAGCUUCGGCUGCUCCUUAGGGGUGGUCACCGAGGUGUGCUGUGAAGGCCAGGGGGGCUCAGGGGGCGGCUUCCAAUGGAGCUGAGGCAGCGGAGUGGGGUCCCCUCUUCAUCCUCCCUAUCCGCUUCCCUGCCUCAGUUUCCCCUUCGGAUCACAGCUGUGCCUCAGUUUCCCCUCAGGUUCCUCCCUGCACACAAACCACAGCCUUCCCCCACCUCACAUCUUCCUGCGGAGACCCCAACGCUUCCCCCAGCGCCCACCCAGCCCUCAAAUCCCCCCCUGGCUCAGAGCGGAGGAUCCUGAGGUGGGAUUUUCCAUCACCCCCCACCCCGAGGCUCCGUGCUGAGUCCCUGCAGACGCUUUUGGGGCCAUUCACCCCAGAAUGAGGCUGAGGACCACAUGUCGUUGGCAACGACACGUGGAGCCGCGGGGGAAUGAGCUGCUGAGAGCCACGAUGGUUCUGGCAUGGAUUCAUCCCAAAAGAAUCCGAGCGGAGCGUGGAGCUGGGCCGGGGUUGGGGUUGUUUCCAUUUCUGAGCCAUUUUGCACCGCAUUGUGGUGUCAGUUUUGGGGUGAUUAUCAAAUAUAGAGGAGAAGGAGCGAGUCGGAGGCAGAACCAGGCAGCUCCACUCCUCUGCACCCACCCCAGCAGCACUGAGGACAUCCCCUCCAUUUGCUUUCCUUUUUUGGGGGGAUGUUUACUCAUAAACUGGAGAGAUUUUCCCUGUUUUCUCCCCCUUUUUAAACAAAUCAUUAUUAUUUUCAUUAUUAUUUUCAGAGCUUAAAUGGCUCAAUGCUCAGCCACUGGAGAACGGUGGCCGUUGGGCAGAGCCAUGUCCACAAUGCACGGCCUCCAUUGGGUGCAGUGAGACGCCAAGCCUUGUUUUAGUGGGCACAGUGGGGGGUUGGGGUUGGGUUGUUGGUGUUGGAGCUCUUUUCCAAGCUUAAGACUCCAUGAUUCUAUGAGUGAGCAUGGUGGGAACGGGUUGGGGUUGGACUGUUGGUCUUGGAGGUCUUUUCCAACCUCAUUGGGUUUCAGAAGAAGAAUGGAUCUGUCGGAUUUCAGCCUCCCUGACCCCCAUCCCCCCCUUCUAUAUAAAAAAACCCAAAUGCUGUCCCCAUAACUGCAAUCAGAGCGCUCUGCAGAGCUCCGGACACAAUUGCUGUGGUUGUUAUUAUCUUUAUUUAAGGCCCACGGAGGCCCUGAGGGAAUAUCACCAUCCUGGUGCCAUAAGAUCUAGAAACGGUGCCGCUGUUUACUGUGCCGUCGCGUUGGCUCCUCAGCCCUUCGAAACCGUAACCUUCCUUUUUAUGGCAACAAUUAUGCUAACGAUAACAUCAUUAAACCGCAUGGGAAUGACCCUUAAAUCAAAAGGGGAAGCUUCCCCUUCCUGAGAACGGUGGCCCAUUGGAGACCUCGGGUGGAAGGAAUCACCGCCCCCCAACCACAGCGAGUUCGGUGGAUAUAUCUCUCUAUAUAUUUUAAGAAGAUUAUUUAUGGUUUAUUUUAGACGCCGGAUCAUUUGGCUCUUGUUUCAUCAAUUUGUCACUGUUUUUAUUGUCACCAAUUGCCCAUAACUGGAGUGCGUUUAAAAUGUCAUUGAUCUUGAUAUUAUGGUGUCAUAAUAUGACAGUAAUAGUUGUAUCUUGUACAGAAAGCCCACUUCCUAAGAUUGAUGGCUUUCACCGCACCAAUUAUAUUCUGUCCAUCUCGGUGAUAAAGAGAGCGUUGGAGGCAUUCAAUAGAUAAAUUAGAUAUCUUUUCAAUUAUUCCCUUUAUUUUAUAGGGUCACGUGCCUGAUUAACAACUUUUUACUUCUGUUAUUAAGCCGGCGGGUUCUCAAUGCUCGCUCCAUGUCUUUUAAUUCUCGUGGAUAUAAUGGAAGACGUUGAGGGCUUUGUGCUCUGUGAUCCUCUCCUAUCUUUUGUGCAGUACGAAUCUCACUCUUCCUGGCAGCCCAUGGGUGCUGCAGUCCCUUUUUUUCCUCCAGGAUUCCAUAAAAGAAUCCCUUCCUUUGGCUGGAAGGCGCCCUGAACUGUGAGCUCAGCCCCAUCCGGACGUGUUUCUCACCCAGGCUUUGCUCCGUGGCGCUGUGGAUGGUUGGGGGGAGAGCUCUGAGAUACAGAGUGUCCCAUGUCAGGGUAUUUCUGGAGCUGAAGGAGUGGGUGGAUGGGGAAGGUGGUGGCCUCGGGCAGGAUGUGGCCUCUUCUCUCUGUGUUCCAGGUUGGGGACGUCGGCACCGGUUGCUGUGACUGAGUGUCCCCAUCCCCACACGAGGAUGUCCCAGUAUAUCCCAGAGGUGCUCCCAUGGUGCAAGCCUGGAGGACCUCUGUUGGCCAAGACUGGGUUCCAUGUCCACAUGAAGAUUCCCCAUUACACCCCAGAGGUGUUCCCAUGGCAUCACAUGAGCCUGGAGGACCACUGUUGGCCAAGCCCAGCUUCCAUGUCCGUAGGAGGAUCUCCCACUGCACCCUACAGAUGUUCUUAUGGCACUGGGAGAGCCUGGAGGACCACUGUGGGCCAAAGCCAGGUUCCACGUCCACAUGAGGAUGUCCCAAAACAUCUUAGAGGCAUUCCCAUUGAGCCAUGUGAGCCUUGAGAAACCCCUGUUGGCCAAGGCCAGGUUCCACGUCCACAUGAGGAUGUCCCAGCACACCCUUGAGGUGCUCCCAUGGCAUCGUGUGAGCCCUGAGGGCCACUUUUGGCUCUGAGAUGGUCGCAGCGUGGUGAGAUGGCUCUGGGCUGGUUGAGUUUUGUUGGCUUUGUGGGACCCCAAGCAUCCACUUCAGGGGGACCUCGUCUUCUACUCAGCCAAAUGACUCCGGGUGCUGCAGGGCGAUGGCAAACGCAAGGAGACAUUCAACCACGGGCUGCCCUGACCCCAUUCCUGCUCCCCACGGGGGUGGGGACAAAAGAUUUGUGAUUUGUAACCCAUCAGGUCCCCAAAAAGCACUUUUCUGUCUCCCUCCGAGCUCCACACCGGAGACGCCGGGCUGCCCCUACCCCAAUUCCCUCCCACCGCAGACGUCGAUCCGCGCAGGCGAAUGGAAACACGGCGCUGGCGAGAGGCUCCCCUGCAGAGCAGUUCCUCAUCCCGACCUGCAACGCACACAAAGAGCAAUUCAGGUGGAGUUACCCCGAGGAGAUUUAUGGCGUCCAGGGAGGCGCACGCGAUCCGAUACCAAAGCAUGAAUCAAAGCAGGACAGCCGGGAUGUAUUUACAUCUGCGCCGCGCGCGCGCGCCGACGUCGCAAGGAGAACACAAAGUCAGUUGGCAAUGGAUGACUGCUGCGGGCUCUGGGGGUGGUGGGGGCACCUCUGAGCUUCGUGGGUGUAAAAGGGAAUGGGAAGGAUGAUGGUAAUCGAUGGGGUUGCGCUGCAUGGCUUCCCAAGGCCGAGCCAAGGGAUGUAUGUGUGAGGAAAUGGCGGGGGUUUCAUGGCUGGGGGGUAUAUCUGAGAGGAAAGCCCUUGGGUUUCAUGGCUGGGGAUGUAUUUGAGAGGAAAGCCCUUGGGUUUCAUGGCUGGGGGCAUGUUUUAGAAGAAAGCCCUUGGGUUUAGCAGUGGCUGUGGAUGGUGAAGCAUCCAUGCGUCCUCACAUCGGUUGGGUUGCGUGGGCACUCCGGUCCAACUCUGUUAUCCAACAUUUCAACCCAUACAAAGCCCAGUGGUGUCACCACGUGGUGCAGCACCAACCCCACUACCUGGGGUGGUGAUUUUGGGCCCCUUCUGCCAGGAAAUGGCUCACGCCGUGUGAAAACACCCAACCCAGAGCUGUGACAUGGUGUGGGACCUUUUGGUUCACCAUUGGGGCUUUCCGGAAAGACUCAUUCCAUGAUGGAUGAACUUUUAAUGGAGAGAAAUAGACAGCCCUGCUUUAAGUGCGGGGUUUAAGUGAAGCCAAUGAUUUAAACAACUUAAAGUCCAUUAAACAAAGGGAGAACUUGGAUCUCAUCAACUCAUUCAUUCUGAGAAGCGCCCGGCCUGGGAUAAACCUGACACUGAGGAGUCAUCUGAGCAUUGCUAAAACAUACGCUUGCCUUCGUAAUGAAAUGUUUUUAAGGGACCAUAAUGGUUACCGUGAGGGCGGUUUGCGUUAGAACCAUUUGAAUUCCCUCAGCUGAGAUCCUUCAAUAGGUGCCCAUCCACUAAUGGAAAGGAGACAUUUCGGAGACGUGAAGGAGUUGGAGACAUUUCGGCCCUAUUUGGAAGAGGUGGGGGCACAGGGAGCGGUGCCAGCCCCUUCCCCAUCUCCACACCCCCACAUUUUCCCCUCCUUUCGUCCCAGGUGGAAAUGGAUGGAAGCCAAACGUGCCAUAAGACGAAGUGUGCUGAUGGGAAGCGGAGCCCAUCGCCUCCAUCACUGACAAACAGGGAGAGGUGGGGUUGGUGGUCGCUGGUUUUCCACUCGCAGUGGUCCAUCAGGGUUACGGAUGCUCUGUGGGUAACAGAAAAUGGUCAUAAUACCCCCCCAGGUUCAGUGCUUUGGGGUUUCUCAGCAUGUUACCAGCGGGCACCAAUCAGGGUGGGGAGGACGAGAGCCUCAUUUCUCCCCAAGCAGAUAAAAUUUCUCCUCUUCCCAUCCACACAAACCCCAGCCAUAAAUCCUCAGGCUCGAGCAAAUGCAGGGCAGAAGUUUAAAGCAAACCUUACGAUUUUAAUGCCCGGGCUCAACGAAGCAUGGAAACAUUUGCUCAGCAUUAAGUGUGUGCUUAGCACCCCGCAGGAGCCCAGAGCUGCACACAGCAGUGCAGGAACUCCCUUCUUCCUCCCCAAUUCAUCCCCUGUAGGAGCAGAGCACGGAGGCAGCGAGCCAAGCGUCCGGCCAACGCUGCAGCAAGAUUUAUGGGAGGGGAAGGGACCCGCUUUCUUCCCUGUGAUUAAUAAGGAGAAGACAAGAAACCUCCUCAGAGCCCCAAUGGAGGCAUUUCCCUGGUUUGAUGGGGUCAACGAGAGCCGAAUUCCAGCCGAUGUAGAUAUAAUUUCAUCGGGGGGUUGGAGGGUCCCUUCCAUCCCUCCCACUGCUGCAAGAAGAGAACUGGAAGCGUCUCCUCCCUCCGUGCUGCUCCAGGGCUCGGUGACCCUGCAGCGAUGUUCGGUCCUGGCAGCGGCGUGGCAACGUUCCUGGGAGGAAAACAGAGGAAAUGGGGGUCUGGUGAGGAGGAGCCCCAGUGGGAAUGGUGGGGAGGGAGGAACUGUGCUGCGCAGCCCGUGCUUUGUGCAUGACGGCACUGGGGGCAGGGAUUUGCAGUGGGGUCAGGUUCCCAGCACGGGCUGCUUCCCAGGGCCUCGCUCUGCAUGGGGAGACGGAGGGGAACACUGAAUGCAUUCCUACAAACGCCUCCAAACUCCUCUCCCAUCCUGACCAGCUCUGCAAAACCCCACCCUGGGAUGCAAGGAUCCAAAAGCCAUCGGGACGUCGCAUUUACCGACGCCAUUCAUCUACACCCAUCCCCAGGACGGGCUGCAGGAGCCGCGCUGGUGGUCCCAGCCAUUAGCAGAGCCCUGAGGAUGAGCUCCCAGCCCUCUCCCCCAGCCCUGUCCUUGCACAUCAUCCGCCCUCACAUCACUGUUGGAUGUGGCACCGGAGCCCUCGGCGCGGGCCACAACUCAGGUUGGCAGCUGAGCAUCCUGGAGCGGGCCGAGCGCGGCCGGGAGCUGUAAUUCUUACCCUGCAUUCCCUGCCAGCUCUGCUCCCCGGUGGCACAUAGAUCACCCAGAGGUGUGGAUGGAGAGCAGGCGAUGUAAAUCACAUUAAACUCCACGCGUGGAGCUGCUCGUUCCGAACGCAGCCAGCCUUAAUUCGGUUUAGCUUUGCGAAUUAAGCUCAAGUGAAUUAAACCAACUCUAAUUCUGGCUAAGUGUCCAGAAUGGGGUUUUAUGUGCUCUGGCUAAUCCAUUUUAAAGGUUGAUUUGGGUUAACGUGAUGGAUGUCCCUUUGUGGGUACCUCUCGGUGCCGCCAGGCUCGCCUGGCCAGGAUUUAUGGUACGGCAGCAACCAGAGCCAUCCACCCCAUGACCUGCGCCAGCACCACGAGCUCCCUCAUUUCCCAGGGAGUGCUACAGAUGAGCUUCAACUGCUUUCCCAAAGGGCAGCGUCUGUUCAUUUUUUCUAGCAGACCAGUGUUGGGUUGAGUCCCGUGUUCCAUUCCAGUAUUGAAGGCAGCAUCCAUCCGAUCUUGCCAACCAAUACGCAUCGGGUUGAGUCAAACUGUUCCAUUGCGUUGUCGAAGGGCAGCAUCCAUCUGACCUUGCCAACCAGCCGGCAUUGGGUUGAGUCCCACUUUCCACUCCAGUAUCAAAGGGCAGAACCCAUCUGGUCUUGCCAGCCAAUCAGCAUUGGGUUGAGUCCCACUUUCCAUUCCAGUAUAGAAGGACGACGUCCCUUCUGGCUUUGCCAACCAAUUGGGUUGAGUCAAACUGCUCCAUUCCACCGUCACAGGGCAGCAGCCCUCCAGCUCUGCCAACAAACCACCCUUGGGUUGAGUCCAAUGAUCCAUUCCAAGAGAGGAGACACAUUUGGGGCACUGCUCUGAAGGUUCCUCUCUCCUCAGUGGGGGAUUCAUGGGGGGUUUGCAAUUAGCACCACAGCGUAGACCCGAAGGUGCUGAUUUCUCUCUUCAUUGAGUGCAGAGAAUUUGGGGCACGGAGCUCCUUAUUUAGGCACGUCUCCUGAAUGACCAACGCUGUGCAGAUGGAAAGUGCACACAGCUAAUGAGUGCCAUUACGUCUCACCCCUCUGGUUCAAAAUGAGGACAGGACCAUCAUCACCUCCCAGCCUUCGCAAUGCUGCUCGUGUAAAGGGGGGUCGAGAGGAGGGCCCAAUGCAUCCCACACCAAGAGCAUCGCCACGUGGGAUCACGCAGCAGCCGGACCCCAAACGUCCCCUCUUCCCAAAAUCAGCCUGGAUGCGUUUCUGAGAAGAGCGCGGUCCCCUUGACUUUGUCCUUACAACAUCGGCAGUGAAUCCUGCAGCCUCCACCCUCGCUCCUCUCGCAGAGCAGCCAAUUGGCAGCGGAUCAAUGCAGGAGAGAGUCAGCAGGAGGGCAGCGAGAUGAAUUAUUUCCCUCUGGGAGGCGGAGGGCAGAGCCCAGAGCUGCCCCACAGCCCGCAGGCAGGGCGCUUAUAGGGCGAGCAUCGGGAUGGAAGCAGCGUGGCAGGAUGUGUUUCGCUGCGUCCCCCCGCACCCCACGCGUGGCCGUAAGGGCGAUUAGCUCGGUUAAUUUAGCCCCGGGUUGAGGGUGGAAGACAACGUGGAGGCUCCCCGCCCAUCUGCAAAGGGCUUUGGGUCGGGAACCACAUCUACAGGGGAACGCUCGUGCAGGGAAAUGUGAAUUAGCAGAGGCUUUGAGUCGAGAGUGCAUUAAUUUAAAGUGCGCUGGAAGCGCAUGCAAAAUGCAUGCAAAGUGCACUCUGCUCGGAACGAAAGCACUCCUCGGUCAAUGGGAAGUGAUUUACUGCCUCUCCCUCGGCGGUCGGGGCAGAAUCCAUCUCUCCUUCCCGCAGGUUGCUGAGCCGAACCGGGUCGGGAAGAGCAUCGCCCUCCGAGGGAGCGACUCCCCGCACAUCCCCGGCUUACGGGACGCAGCGCCGCGCUUCCCGGCUGCGGGGGGAGGACGGGCAGGGAGAGGUGCUGAGAGACGGCAGGGAUGGGAGGAGAAGGGAAAGGUGCGCUCGGAUUUAAACGCACGGCGUCCCGCGGCCCGGCGCAGCCUUCGUUUGCAGAGAGGGCCGACGGCCGUGCGGGCGCUGCAGAGCUCCGGCGGCGCUGCAAAGUAGAGGUGCGGUGUUGAAAGGAGCUGAGUGCCGCCAGUUGGGCUUAAAGCCCGAAGAGCUGAGCUUGCAAUGGUGUCCCUCCUGAAAUAGGUGGGUUGGAGAGUGCCAAAAGGCCGUCAAAAGCCCCCUGGUUUGGGGCUUGCGUCGCGUCGGGUGGCACCGCCUGUUUCUCCGCCACGAGGGAAAUGCCCAUAGGGGGUAUUUGGGCCUUUUUGGUGAUGAAAGCCAAUGGGUGUGAGCAGCAGCAGCAAAUCCCUGCUGUGAGGGAGCGGCCAAAAAGCGAGCAGAGGUGAAGCAAAG
ensembl:lncRNA